AACGUCCUGCUCCCACCCCAGCCACCUGCUGGCUUGUUAAGAAGACUGCCUGGUGAGGUAUGUAACCAAGUGCUGUUACGGGAAUGUUUGAGCCUUUACGUUUAGCUACAUCACAUUUAUGCAUAAAUGCACCCAUCUUCAUAGCACAAGUAGCUGCUAAUAACCUCUGAACCCUAAAGCAUCCAAAGACACCACAAAACCCGUAUGGAUUUAUUGCUUUCUAACAGGA